UGCGAUUUGGACCUGUCACUUGAUUAAACUGCCUGAUUUAGCUCUAGGAGCCGUUAUUAAAUUGUACUGUCGCAGUAUCUUCGAGACGAGUACUCCAGGUAGUUUAGAAUAUAUCUACACUCGUGCUGGUUCGCCGAGGGGAUUUUACAGGGUCGUUCAGGCUGUUCCGGACUGUAGGGUGCCGUUGAGGUUGACGGUGGACCCGUAUCGCCUUUUUGGCGUCUGAUUGUGCCGAGGGCACGUUACUUGUUGGUUGUUAGACCAGUUAGAGUCGAUUUCUUGACUUUGGCUUUUCAGAGCCUGUUUGAGCUCGACAGAGAUACGCUGCAUACUCGGUUGGGUAGCGCCCACGAGUGCCACUCCGGAGUCAGGCUUUGUGCUUUCGCGUUGGUGUCGCUCAUGCCAGUUGGACUUGCUCUCCACGGACCAGUUAGUGUGGAUAGAGCUUGAUAGUCGCAACGGGGCAGGGACGGGUGUAUUCACAGUCCCGGGGACGGGUAUGCUUACAGUCCCGAUUGGAUUGGGUCAGAGUUGACAUUUCCUACAGUUGGUUAGUGUAGAGCAUGAUAGUGUAGUGAUCGAUAGCGGUAGAGUUUAUUUCCUGCUUUUCUGACUACUCUUGCUCCCUUCUGUAGACUUAGUGGGUGGACCGAUGUUGUUUUGGGCGGUACCCACUGAGGACUACUUGUUUUUACAGUAGUUCUCACGCCCAGUUGUUACCUAUGUUUUUGCAGAGCCACAGGUUCCGGCUGCUGCACCGUCCGCGGACCAGGAUCGAGGCAAGGGCGUCGCGAGUUAGAGCCCUACCCGACGUGCUGAGCUAGAGGUGCCCCUACUGCAGGUAGAUGUUUUGUUUCGAGUUUAUGUACAUAGUUGACUUAACUCGCCAGUGCGAGUAGCUCUGUAUUUUGGAUUUGAACUAUGUAUAUGAAACUCAGUUUGUUUAGCUUCUGUUUUCUCUAGCAGCUCUCUACUACUGUUCGUAAUAGUAUUUGAUUUACAGGUACAGCUGUCGCUUCGUAUACAGGAAAAAUUUCUUUGUAUACGACGGAUUUGUCGGCGUACCCGAGAAACGUGUAAUCCGGGACGUGACAAUUGAAAAGAGAAAUAAAUGUUUCAGGUCAGAUUUUCAGAUUUGGGUUCGGAUUCGAGUUUUGAAUUUUUUAUCGAAUUCGGAUUUGAAUAUGAAUUUUUAAAAUCAGUUAGGUUCGAUUCGGAUUCGAAUUUCAAAUUUGAAAUCGGGUUCGAAUUUGAAUUUUUAAAAAUCUGCGCCGAAUCCAACCCGUUGACAUCCCAGCGAAGCAACCCACUAAAAGCCAAGUUGGA
rnacentral:lncRNA from 1 species